CUGCGCGGGGCGGAGCCUGUGGCCCUGGCGCGGCUCUGGGUCCGUCUCGUCGCGUCCGGGUUGUCACUCUCUCGGGUUGUUACUCUGUAGCUUCCCGGCUCGCGAAAGGGAGGACCUGUCUGGGUCAUGGAUUUUGAGAAUCUUUUCUCAAAACCCCCCAACCCGGCCCUCGGCAAAACGGCCACGGACUCUGACGAAAGAAUCGAUGAUGAAAUAGAUACAGAAGUUGAAGAAACACAAGAAGAGAAAAUUAAACUGGAGUGCGAGCAAAUUCCCAAAAAAUUUAGACACUCUGCAAUAUCACCAAAAAGUUCGCUGCAUAGAAAAUCAAGAAGUAAGGACUAUGAUGUAUAUAGUGAUAAUGAUAUCUGCAGUCAGGAAUCAGAAGAUAAUUUUGCCAAAGAGCUUCAACAGUACAUACAAGCCAGAGAAAUGGCAAAUGCUGCUCAACCUGAAGAAUCUACAAAGAAAGAAGGAGUAAAAGAUACCCCACAGGCUGCUAAACAAAAAAAUAAAAAUCUUAAAGCUGGUCACAAGAAUGGCAAACAGAAGAAAAUGAAGCGAAAAUGGCCUGGCCCUGGAAACAAAGGAUCAAAUGCUUUGCUGAGGAACAGUGGCUCACAGGAUGAGGAUGGUAAACCUAAAGAGAAGCAGCAGCAUUUGAGUCAGGCAUUCAUCAACCAACAUACAGUGGAACGCAAGGGAAAGCAAAUUUGUAAAUAUUUUCUUGAAAGGAAAUGUAUUAAGGGAGACCAGUGUAAAUUUGAUCAUGAUGCAGAGAUAGAAAAGAAAAAGGAAAUGUGUAAGUUUUAUGUACAAGGAUAUUGUACCAGAGGUGAAAACUGUCUGUAUUUGCAUAAUGAAUAUCCUUGUAAGUUUUACCAUACAGGAACAAAAUGUUAUCAGGGAGAAUAUUGCAAGUUUUCUCAUGCUCCACUGACUCCUGAAACACAAGAAUUGUUGGCUAAAGUUUUGGAUACUGAAAAGAAGUCAUGUAAAUAAAAUAGACAUAAAAAGGAACGCACCAUACUCAAUAAGGCAAACAGUAGAGGCAUUUCCACUAGAAGAGUCUAUGUUCCAUUGAGACUGCCUGGUUUCUAAACCUUGAGUAGAGUUCCCUUCUGAAAACAUCUGCCUUUGGGAGAAUGGGAAGAUAGAUGAAGUACUUCUGCAACUGUAUUCCUAAGAUAAGUACAUGUGCUGUGUUAUCUGAGUUGCAAGCUGAAUGAGUUGUUUUUCAUGACUGCUAUUUUUACUUGAAAGAACAACUGAGAGCUGGGUGUGCUGGUAUGAGCCUGUAAUGCCAGCUGCUGUGGAGGUGGAGGCAGGAGUUUGAAUUCAGGUCCAGCCUGGGUAACACAAUAAGACCCUAUCUCUACAAAAACAAAAACAAAAACAAAAACAAAAACAAAAAACACAAGAAACCAGACACACAUACAAACACAAACCCAAACAAAGAAACAAAACCAAGGGGCAACAUUUUUUUUCAGAUAUAGAUGUUUGACAGGAACUUUUUCAGAAAUGAACAGAGUGACCCUGUCACUUUGAGGAGGACAACUGAAAAUAUUUGUUGUCAAUGAUAAAAUUCAAGCUUUUAAGCAAAAAUUAUAAUUUUAGAACAUCUGAUCCAUCCCUGUGAGCUUGAAAGCUUUCCUGUACCUAAAGACUGUUUUGGCAAGAUUCAUUGGUGAUAUUAAAGAAUGUAACUUUUUAAAAACACUCUACUAUAUAAUGAAACAUGUGGAAGAUCUGCAUAGAUUAGUAAACUGAUAUUUUCUAAAUAAACAAUGCACAAUAUUACAGAAUUAUACAUGCAUAAAGCACCCAUCCAACCUACAAAGACCAAUGGAUUUUAAUGUAACAGUAUAAAAAGUUCAUUGAUGUGGUUUCAGAUUUUAUACUGCAACUUGAAAAUGUUUCCAUUUGCUUUUAAUAUUCAUUUGCCCAUCACUUUAUUUUUAGCUUUUCUUUUUUUUUGAGAUGGAGUCACCCAGGCUUGAAUGAAGUGGCACGAUCUUUGCUCACUGCAACCUCUGCCUUCUGGGUUCAAGUGAUUCUCAUGUCUCAGCCUCCUGAAUAGCUGGGAUUACAGGCAUGUGCCACCAUGUCUGGCUAAUUUUUUUCUAUUUUUAGUAGAAGUGGGGUUUCACCAUGUUGGCCAGGCUGGUCUCGAACUCCUGAGCUCAAGUGAUCCACCCACCUUGGUCUCCCAAAGUGCUGGGAUUACAGAUGUGAGCCACCGCGCCUGGUCUAUUUUUAGCUUUUCUGAAUAAUUUUUAGGUUUGUUUCUUGUAUGGAACAUAUGUAGUUGGGUUUUGCUCUGUGGGCUCAACCAAAAAUCUUUUUCUUUUGAUAAGUGGAUUAAGACCAUUCACAUUUGUUGAAAUUACCAAAUGUUUGGUUUAGUUUCUGUCAUUUUAUUGUUACUGUGUUUCUUUCUCUAUAAUGUGUUUUCUUUGUUUUCUAUUAAAUUUUUCUUUCUUCAUCUCAUUUUUUGUUCUCUUUCUGCUUUUGUCCGAUAAUGUUCAUCAUGUUUCCAUUCAAAUUUAUUCUUUCUUGUAAUAUAGUCUUCAUUUGUAAUAUAAUUUUUUUCUUGUUUGCCAUGUCUGAGGUUAGUCAACUCUUGUCUCAUUAUUUGUAUUUUUUUUUUUUUUGCUUCAGUUCUAAUCUUAGUUUUUGAAUUUCAAUUCAGAAUGUUCUUUAAUUUUCCCAAAGAGGGGUGUUUAAUUCUGUUUGGAUUUUUGCUUGUUUUCUUCAGCUAUAUGUUUUUUGUUGUUGUUGUUUUGGGAGAUGAGAGCUGGGAGUAAGGGCGGCUCUGCUGGUAAUUUUCAUGAGCUGAUGUGUUUUUGUUCUCUGUUUUCUUCUGUAGGUAGCAAUGUACAGAUAAAGAGUACUUUAACGCCCAUGCCUGUUCAAGACUGUUCAAGACUGGUGAUUUGGAGUAGUUUACAAGAUUCCUCAUUCAGAGUGCCCUCUUGUGUGACUGGGGUGAUGUGCAGCUUCCAUAAUGGAUGGGACAGAGAGCUGGGAUCUAAUGUGCAAGUGAAGGGCUUGGUCUUCCCCGAGACAUUCCAACCAUUGGAAUAGGAGAGGAGCAUAUAUGGCAGAGGUGAUGGCUGGUGGGUAAAUGUGAUAGUAAAUUGUAGACACCUCUUCUGAUUGAUUGGAUUUCCUUAAUAAAAUAGGAAGCAAGGUUAGGCUGAGUGAGGGUGAGUAAAGAGGUGGAGGAGAUUUGAGGAGAGACAACUGCUCGGAAGACAUUGGUAGAUGGACCAUAAAAACAGAGUUAGUUCUCUUUAUGACAUUAAAUAGUUUUACAACAUAUUUUUAGUGGUUGUUCACAAUUUCAUUUUAGGGCUUAAAAUAAAUUAUGGUUCUAUGAUUUUUUUAAACCAGUUUCCUAUUGUUAGACAUUUGUUUCCAGUUUCUUACUAUUAUAAAUAAAGUGAAACAAUAUCUCUUACUAUACCAUUUCUAAAUUUAGAGUUCCUAACUUUUCUGUUGUUAAAAUAUAAGAAUAUUUAUCUUUCUCAUUGGUUUAUAAACUGUAUUCAGAUUAUACACUUGUGUGAGUUACAAACUUUAGGAGUGUGAUGGUAUCAUUAACACAAGAUUCAAAUACAAAUGUUCCAAGUACAAAUAAUAAUGAGAUUCUAAAUAUGCAGUUUUAUAUAGUAAUAUUGAUUAUUGGUUAUUAUUAGACAAAUACCAUGAAAUGGAAACUCGUCAUUAUAUUGUUUUAUUGUUGGGAAAAGUAAUAGUAUUACCAACUUGCUGGACAUACAGAGUACACCAAAGCUAGUGAUACUUCUUAGCAAAGUCCUAUUUGAAAAUAGGAAUCAAAGUUAUUUUCAUUGUUAUCUAAUCCUGCUAAAGCAAGAAAGGGAACUGCAUAUACUCCAAGCAAAGGUUUAUCAGACAAGACCAAAUAAAGCAGGAAACAAGGGUAAAUCCUAGGCCCUUAGAAGCAGGAAACUGAGGAAUGGAGAGCAAGUCAUCUCUCAGUGCCCUUUUGCUGUCUGCCCAGGUUGGUUGGUUCACUUCUCAGCUGUGGCUCAGGAGGUGGGCAAGGCACUUCUUAUUUAAGUCUCGUAACAACCUUAUACAGUGGAUAAUGCAAUUCAUUGCAUAGAAAGGGAAAAUAGGAAUGCUUAAUUUUUUAAUUUUUAUGAGCCUUGUCAAUACUUGUAAUUAAUCUUAUACUACAGUCUAGCAGUUUACUUCCUAAUAUUACCUCAUGUAUAGUUUGAUACUUAUAAAGUAUAGAUUUUAUAUAUAAAGUUUAUAUAUAAGGAAAAAAAUAAUUGUUAUAUUUCUGAGGCAGUACCCAUCUCACUUGUAAACUUAAAAGACACCGCAGAGAUUUGAGGGACUCAGAAGUCAAAUAAAGUGGGUUAAAAACCUCUUAUUUUUCAAAUAA